UGGUAUUAUCAUGCAUUGCAUGCAUAAUGCUGUAAAUUAUACUUUCAUUAAUUAAUUAAAGAAACCUAGCCAAUAUUGGAAUAUUCUAGGGGUUAGGUCCGUUAGGAUUCAUUUAUAGAUUCGCAUACAAAAUAUUAAAUACGUAUUUCAUAAUUUUAUUUUAUAAAAACCAUAACUCUGGUUUUUUAUUAUUGUUUUAAUGGCAACAACAAAAUACACGACACAUGAGCAUCACACUAUUUUAAUCGCACACUAAAC
rnacentral:lncRNA from 1 species